rnacentral:rRNA from 1 species
ACGCUGGCGGCGUGCCUAAUACAUGCAAGUCGAGCGGACGAUUCAAAAGCUUGCUUUUGAAUCGUUAGCGGCGGACGGGUGAGUAACACGUGGGCAACCUGCCCUGUAGACGGGGAUAACACCGAGAAAUCGGUGCUAAUACCGGAUAACACGAAGAACCGCAUGGUUUUUCGUUGAAAGGCGGCGCAAGCUGUCGCUACAGGAUGGGCCCGCGGCGCAUUAGCUAGUUGGUGAGGUAACGGCUCACCAAGGCGACGAUGCGUAGCCGACCUGAGAGGGUGAUCGGCCACACUGGGACUGGGACACGGCCCAGACUCCUACGGGAGGCAGCAGUAGGGAAUCUUCCGCAAUGGACGAAAGUCUGACGGAGCAACGCCGCGUGAGCGAAGAAGGCCUUCGGGUCGUAAAGCUCUGUUGUUAGGGAAGAACAAGUACCGCAGUCACUGGCGGUACCUUGACGGUACCUAACGAGAAAGCCACGGCUAACUACGUGCCAGCAGCCGCGGUAAUACGUAGGUGGCAAGCGUUGUCCGGAAUUAUUGGGCGUAAAGCGCGCGCAGGCGGUUCCUUAAGUCUGAUGUGAAAGCCCACGGCUCAACCGUGGAGGGUCAUUGGAAAACUGGGGGA